rnacentral:lncRNA from 1 species
CAGAAUCCAAAUGUUCUUUCUAAAUGCCCAAAAACAAACCCAAGUCAUUGAGCAUUGAUGAAAGACUUAACAUAUUCGAAAGAGAAGAUGAUAAUAUACUUCAUAACAUGGAAAUUAAAGGUGUAAAAUGCAAAAGCUAAUAGAAUUUAACAUUUAAACAUGAUUUCUAUGCAAAUUCCAGUUAGAUCUCCAACUUUAUGUACAGAUUCAGUCUAGUUAUAACUUGUAGCACCUCAUUUGUUAGCAAAUGGUAUGAAGAAAUACCUGGGAAAAACAAAAAUGCAGAAAGCAGGGAAUCAGCAACAACAAAACAGUAUCCAACAGCAGAAAUCAGCUCAAACCAAGCUUGAAUGCCAAGUUUAAAACCCAAAAGACAACCCCAGGAACUUUAAAAUAACUCCAUACGCUAACCACAGGAAUGCUUAAACCAUUUUCAACUCAAUAUAUACCAGAGAUUUUGAUUCAGAACUGGGAAAGCUUCAAAGUCCCCCGAUGAAUUUCAAUGGAGUAGUAGUUUUUCUCUUUUAGCCGUUUCUUUUCUAUAUUUUUUUAGCCCUCCCCCCAAAAUCUGCCUUGAGUGUCAAGUUAGGAUGCCUUUAUAGUCAAACUAUUAGGGUAGCAUAAAAUGAAUUCAGAUUUGCAUUUUUAACCUUUUGAUAUUUUCGUUUCUGCUCAAAUACCUUUAGCUUAAAACUCAAAUUUUCAUUAGCCCCUACCCUAGCUUCCUAGACGUUUCCUUAGGUUAUUACAAAAGAUUCCCUUACUUAUACUACCCAUAUUACCCUUAACAACCCUAUUUAUUACCUCUGGGACCUCAAAUGAGUCAUGGGUCAAAUGACCCAAUGAUCAAACCAGACCUGGGCUCGAAAAAUCCAUUCGAACUCUUUAGAAUAGUUUAUGAAAUGAAUUCAGAACCCAAAUGAAAUGAAUCCAGGUUGAGCAAACUAUGGCAAACGGCAGGAAAAUGACUAAACCAACUUUCAGAAAACUUAAAACCUAAGCUAAUGGACUAAAUUGUCAUAUAAUCCUAAUUAAACUAAUAGGGCUAAACAAACAAAAUGAAAUCAGAAAUUAAUCGUGCUGUCAACAAAAGAAUUAGACCGACCAAACAAAAAUCACAGAACCAACUUGGAACGGAAAACUGAGACGGAACAAAACAGACAGUACCCGAUCUCAGCUAGAAAACUCGUUCAAUUUUAUUUUAAUUAACUGAAGGGAAAGAGAAGAAGAGAAGAGGAAAGAAAGAUGAAGGAAUCACAAGCGUAAGAGAAAGGAAAGAAAGAAACUCACCAACUCGGGCUCGACCCUUCGACUGACUUUCCGAUUUAAACCUCGAAUAUCAUCAACUACUUGUUAUUUGUCGAAUGAGGCUAUUCCGUGGUAGAACUGGCCCGGAACACUCAUAAAAACUGGGAAAACACCGUUGCAUGCGUAGGUUUGGCUUUGGCUUCUGGAGCUUGAACUUUAGACUUAAGAUUCGAGAUGUUCUAGCGAAAUUCGAAGGGAACAGAGUGUGGAUUUGGUACAAGGGGGUCAUGGCGGUUCUAUGGUGUCAAUUUGGUGGUGAACAGAGGCGGCGCCGCCACCGGAGGAAAUGAGGCGGCGCUAAGGUUUGUGACUUCAACCUCAGAUUCGAGGGAUUCUGAGUGUGUUCGAACGAAGUUGGUUGUGGAUUGGGAUUGUGGAAGGAAUGAGGAGUUUAAGUUGUGAAUAUGGUGGUCAUCAUAGAUGGCGCCGCCGGUCUGAGGUGGUGGGAAUUAGGGGCGGCUCAGUUAGGGUUAGUUGGGGAUUAGCCUCUGAAAGAGACAAGAUAG